AUGUUGAGGAAGUGUGAACCUGAACAAAUCGAGAUGUCAACUUGGAGAUGGCAUAGAGGUGGGAGUUGUAGAGCAAGUGUGUGAUUGAUAGGGAAAGAACUCGAAGUAGAGUCAUUCAGCAAGAGGCAAAGACAACCAGCUUGCUGGGAGUAGAUUUGUUUUAGGUUAUCGCAACACGUUUGUGCGGGAGAGGGCACUCUACCUUGAACAAAUGGUGCGCAUGAGGCUAAAGAUAGUAGGCUUGUCCCGCAUUGGGUGAUGGUGGGACCUAAUCUAGGGUUCUGUGAAAAUGUGGGUGAUGCAAGGUAAGAGAGAAUUACAAGAAAAGUAUAUUUAGUUGUGGGAAGGAAAGAGUGAUGCGGAAAAGCCAUUCUAUAUGUUCAUCAAGGUAGCUAGAGUUUAUGUUCUGUUUCUGUGGAGAACUUACUUUCUAAAUAGAUGAAGAUGCAUUGAUUUGGUGUGGAAAUUUAGCAUGCUUUAUGUGUGUCGGUUAAAACACAACUUCUAUUAUCUCUUUGGUAAACAACCAUUUUGGAGCUACAAUAGCAAUUUUAUUUGAAAAUGCAGCAUGCGUGAUAUGAUGAUAUCUCUUAGAGCUAUGUUUUCAACUUGAGAAAAGAAGGAAAAGGAAAAGAGGGGAAACAGAAAACAAAGUUAAAGAAAAAGUCUGUACCUCUAAAAGAAAUUAAUAUCAACAAGUAUUAUGAUGAAGUAGCAUAAUGGAAUUAUUUAAAUCUCCAUUUUUUUUGGGGGAUAAUCCUUUCUUUAAUUCUCAAACAGUAGUUGUUUUUCAUAUUUAGUCUCCUAACUAUUAUUUUAUUUUUUACUUAUUUUUUUUUGCGUAGUUUGUCUUCUACCCGUCGUUAGUCACUAAACUUUUCACGUUUAGUCCCCAAAUUAUAGUUGUUUUCAUGUUUAAUCCUCAAAGUACACUUAUUUUUCAAGUUUAAUUCAUUUUAAUUUCUCUAAUUUUUGUGUUGUUGGAUUGAGAUUGCAGAAAUAAUAAUGUUCGACAACAAAAUACUAAUAAAAAGUAAAUAGGGAACUAAAUAUUAAAAACAAUUAUAUUUGCUGACUAAUUAAGAUAUUAUCCUCCCCUAUAUAUAAAUAGGGAUCAAAUAGUUUGGCUGCAUAACUUUUGCAGAUCAAGUAAUUUCCUCCUACUCAAAUUACAUUUCCUUCAUUUUUUUUUAGAAUCGGCUAGUUUGUCUUGGUUUAAUUGCUAAUCUUUAUCAUAUUACUACCGUACCUUAAAAGUGUUAGUAUGGAAUUAGACUUGGCAAUUGGAUUAGUUAACUAGUAUUUAGGUGAUGGGUUGGUUUGAUUUUGGACUCAUAUUAUUAUUAUAAAUAUGGGUUGGAUCUAGUUUAAUCUAUAUUAGUCUACAAUAGUUUUUUACACUUUGUAGAACUAAUACAUCAACAUGAAUGCAUUACAUUCUUAUAUAACACAAAUACAUUAUACAUAUUACAUUAUAUAUAUUACGUACUUUUAUAAUUUAUACAUUUGUAAUUAUGUAUAAAAAUCAUUUCACUAAUUAUGGAAUUAAUCCAUAAUAAAGUUAACACUUUUAGUGUAACGAACUACUAAUUUAAAUAAUUAAUAUCUCCUCCCUUAAUUAAUUAAAAUAACUCAUUUAAAUCAUCAAGGCAAAUGCCUUCAUGUAAAAAUCAUUCUUUCCCUAAAAUCUUGUUACUACUGUACUGUUGGACAGUAAAAAUAAAAGAAAGAUGAAGGAUUAAAAUUGAAAAAAAGUAACAGCAGUAGUCCCUUCCAAUUUCUUUCUCAUUUGUUCAACUGUGAGCUACUGAGCUUCAUAAAAUUAUAUUUGUACCGUGCUUGGCACGCCCACUCCCACCCCCACCCCCACCCCCACAAAAAAAUAAUAUUUAUUGAUUAAUCCAUUUUCCUAACUUGAUCAAUCCCAUUUUUCUGUACCUUUUCCUAACUUGAUCAAUCCCAUUUUUAGAGCAUUGGUUAAAAAUGAGAUAUCAUAUACUUCAACUCCACUAGAACAUUUUGUUUAGAAUACGGUAGAGGCAUAUAUGCACAAAUUAAUAGGCUAAUUACAUAUGUAUUGGACAGUACUAUACUUUGAAUAUUAUGAUUGCAAUUGAUUUCAUGUAUCAACUUUGGACAAUUUAAUUGGACAGUAGUCAAUAUAUAUCCUAUGCAUAAUAUAUAUUGAGUACUGGAAUGAUAUCAUGCUUAGCAUAUUUUUUUUCCUAUUGAAAGAAAGAUGGUAAUUGUUUUUUGAGUUAUGCUAAGUAACUUUGUUUACGAGUUCAUGAAAUGAUGAUAAAGGCUAUUGUAGUACUAGUACCGCUUCAAUAUCGGAGUUAUGUUUGCUAUAUAGCAAGGGAAAAUGAUUUUCAAGAUGGGCCAUGCAUUAAACAAGAAUGAGACUGCAGGCUGGUUAAAAGUAUGCAGAGGUUUAAUUCAAAAGUUGAGGAACAGAUUUUACAUUUGACUUAGUAAUGUACAGAACAAGUUUAAACUAUACCAAAUAUAAAUCAAAGAGAAGGGGAAAAUGAAUGGGAUCAACUUGAUUGUUACUGUAGCAGCAGUCUUUAGAGCAGAAACUAGUACAGUAGUGAUGAAUAAGAUUAAUAUUCAGCUUUUUAGUAAACAAUUGGGGUGCUACCCCAUAUUCUUGUUUGAUUAUCAAGUUUAACUCAUGAAUACGUAUGAGUUGGACAGUGUCAACUCAUACAUAUUGUCAUUUUAACUUUGAAGAUGUACUAUUAACUAGCAAUAGGUUUAUUUGUAUGUUUGAAUAUCAAAUUUCUUAAUUUUGGUGAUAUUUUGAUCUUAUGACUUGCAAAGAUUUUCAUAUUUUUAUCAAUAGGUUGUCAUUAAUUUGUCAUUAUGAGCUAUGGUCAUUUUAUUAAUGAGUUGCAUUAGUUUUUUAUUAUUUAUUUUUAACUUAUUAAUUUUGAUAUUUUUUUUGUUUGGAUUGCUCAAAAAUAUGUCCAAAAUUAGUGAUCACAUAUGGAUUGAGUUUCAACAACAUAUUAUAAACCUGAAUGAGUCGAGCUUGAACUCGAUCUCAAACUCGUUAAUAUUUGAUUGGACCGAGUUUGAACAGCUUUAAGCUUUUAAGCUCGGUUCAGUACUUAACCCAAUGAAAGGUGCUAAUCAGAUCUAAUAAACUCCCCAAGCCCCAAGAACAAAAUGUAUUCAUAGGAUUGAAUUGUAAUAAUAUGUAUUUAAUUUUUAUAGUAUGAUAUCUGGCGACUCAGAAUGGGUCGUGUAGACCUAUUUUGGAGGCAUCACAUAUAUGUAUAUAUAUAUAUAUAUAUAUAUAUAUAUAUAUAUAUAUAUAUAUAUACUUCAUAUAUAUCAUACUAGAAAGUAAGGAAAUGAAAUGGCCAUGAUAAGCACAGGGCUGCUGCUUAUGGCAGCAGCAGUAACAGUGUCUAUCCAUGACAUUGUCAAGGUUUUCCUUUAGACUCUCAGUUAAUAUUCCUAAGUUUCUAGGAUUGUCCAACUAAUGUACUCUAGUAAUGAAUGAAUAAACCACUUGUUAAACAUCCAAAACUAAAAAUAAAAGGAUCAAGAAAGUGGGUAAAUCAAAAACUAUAUGAAGCAGGGGGUAGAGGCUGCUGCCUAAUUUUGAUUACAUGAGGUAAUUUACAGACUUAACCAUAAAAUUUGAGUUAUUAUCUUUACAUAGCUAAAGAUAUAAAUGUAUAUAACAUAUUAAAAGUGUUGAGCAAUUGAAAUAUUAUAAGAGGAAAGUAAUUUAGCUAGAGAAAAAGGUAAGGGCUGCUGCCAUGGGGCAGCAGUAGAAUGCGAUAUUUAAGUGCCUCUUGCAGUUAAUCUUAAUUUGGCAAAUGUUUUGGGAUGUAUAGAUUAUGUAUUAUGUCAAUUUGAAAGCUAACUAAAUAAAUAAAGUUUUAUUAGAGCUUGGGGUAAAGAAUGAGGAUUGUUGCUAUAAGACAUGUAUAUAAAAUUAUUAAUAUAGUUACAAUUCUAUGUAAAUAACUUAGUAGUUAUAUUAUACUUGGGGCUGUUAAGCCAAUGUUAUGACUGCUAGGUUCAAAUAGUUACAGGAAUGUUUGAUACUUAGCAUUCUGAAAUAAAUCUACAAGUAUUGAUAGAAGCUAUAAAUUGUUCAACCAAGUUGUGAAUAUCCCAAAACAUAAAGAACAUAGAAAGGGACUGUUUUAGGUAUAGUCUUAAAACAUGUUAGCCUUGGCACACUAGUUGAUAUGAAUGAAUAUUCAAAAUACUCACAAGUUGUAUAAAUGAGUUAGCAAACUCUGAAAUAGAGCUAGCAUGAAUGUGUAUCUUAUGUUGGGAUUAUUAAACAAAAUUGGGUUUAAUAAGCCUUAAAGGGCUGCCUUGGGUAUCACUAAGAGAAUCAACACUGGUUAAAGCAAUAGUGUCUUGAAAUGAAUCUAUAUGACAAGAAAAGUAAAGAUAGAGAGAAUCAAAGCAAAUUGGAAACUAAAGUUUUACCCUUAUGAUAAACAAUUAUACUUAAUACAUGAAAUACCUUAUGUAUUCACCUUGAAUACCUAAGUUAUAAAGAAGAUUGCAAAAUAUACUUAUGGCAAGAAAGAAGAAAAAGAAAUAUAAACGAAAAUCAUGAAAAGUUCAUGAACAUGGAUUAUGUCAGACCCUAUAAAAGAAAGAAAAGGCUAUUGUAAGAACACGGAUGAGGUAUUUGAAAAAUAUAUAGAAAUAUCUCAAAUAUAGAAGCAUAAACUAAAAACAUGAUCACUGUGAUUAUGUGAUAUGUGAACUUACAAGUUCUAUGACUUGACUAUUUGGCUAAUAUGCUUAUAAAUGCAAAUAAUUGUGUAGGAUCUGUGAGAAUACACAAGUUAAGCUGAAAUUGUACCAAUAGUCUACUUACAAGGCAAGUAUCUAAAUCUUACUCUUUAUUGAGCAAAUAUUCUGAGAUUAUUCAUAUAUGGACAAGUUCUCUAAAUUCUGAACUGUCUUUCAUUAUUUAUGAAUAUUACAAGGUUGAAUAACCUUUUUAUUCCAAUCAGCUUCAAAAGUUUGGAUGAUGUAUUUUCAUGUAUAUCAAAUGAAAUUCAAUAUGCAUGAGCAGAUCGCAAAGAAGUCCUAGCCAUUCCUUCAGGCCAGACACAGAUGUAAAAUAUUUCAAUUUCUUUAUAGCAAGUCUUGAAAUAUUAUUGUGCCAUGAUUUAAGCUAUCCAGCUAUAUUGUUGUAGUUUGGAUUCUAAACUGAGAAUGAACAUACCCUGAAAUGGGAUAUUUUUAUUGCACUCUGGGAGUGGUGACGUUAAACAUGAAAAUUGUUCUGGAUAAGAUAGUAUUGAUCAGCAUAAAGGGCUGAUCACCCUCUGUGCUCGUAAGAUAAGACGGUUCACAGAUAAAAUCUCUGAUUGAACCUUUUCAAGAAAAGAAAAAAUAUGUUCGUAGUCUUAUGACUUCUCAGUUAUUCAAUAUUGUUAUGAUAUUACAGAAAUGUGAAUGAUUCAAGAUUUAUUGCUUUACAGUUAUGAUUCACUGACAAAGCAUGCCUCAAAGAAAACAUUUAUUGCUUGUUGAGCCUUAAAGAAUGCUAUUACUUGCUGAGCAAUUGAAUGCUCAUACUUGUUUUGUUAUAAAUGUUUUCAGCUGAGCAGACUCGGGCAGAAGGGUCUGGAAGGGACAAGGGGAAAGGAAAAGUAACCGAAUAGUUGUGAUUUGAUGUAAUAGAUAGUUUACAUGUCUGUAAAUAUUGAACUAUCAUGUAACGAACACUUAAAGGUUUACGUACCUGGGAUUAGAAGAACUUUGAUGUAAUAUCUUUAUUAAGUUAAGUUUACACUAUGUAUGACAUCGUGAAGCACUGGAUAAGGGUUUCAAGCACCCGAAUUUGGGGGCGUCACAUGUUGAUAUCAAAGCUUUAAGUUAGAAGCCUUAGGAUGGGAACCUUGAGUUAUAACUUUAAAUUAGUGAGGCAGACAUGAAAUAAAUAACUCAUAUAGAGUUGAAAAGAGAUGGACUGUGGAAGUUCAUUAUAAAAUGUAAAUAAAAAUAAUUUAAAAAUAACUGUUAUUUGUUAUUUGUUAUUUGUUAUAUAACUUGUUAUAUGUAUUAAUCAAGUUAUUUGUUUGUGUAUAGGAUUGCUGGAAUUCAAGAAGAAUUAGUUAUUAAUGAGGAGCAGAUCGCUCCACCACCGAUAGCCCCAGCCCAGGUUAUAGAUUUGGACCUUGAGCCUGUUAUAGAGGAGGAGGACCCAGUAGAGGAGAUGAAUGAAGUACCGGAUGUUGGACAUAAUGAAAUGGAGGAGGCGAUGAUUCAGCUUGGGGCAAUGGUCCACUAUUUGAUGGAUCAAAACACUGAAUUACUGGCCAGACUACAAGUUUCUGAAAAUAGGACCCUAUACUUGGAGGGUCAAAUCCAUGAAGAACGCCAUGAGGCGGAGAACAUUAUGACAGCAUCUAAUGGGUAUAUUCACCAUCUAGAAGGUCGAUUGGAUGAAUGUAAGAGGCAAAAAGAAAUGAUGAGUCCAUGGAGAGAGUUCAGACAGCUGUCUGGAAUCAUCCGCAGGAGUUAGGGCAGCCUAGGUACUCCAUCUCGCGAGCCAGAGUUAUUGCCAUUAUUGAGGAUGAGCGAGUACGUUCCAUCGUUCCAGUGCGGAACUAUUUAUAAAUGCAUCUCCAAAUUAAGGUACAAUUUAAUUUCAACUAUUUAUGCACCCCUCUCUGGAUUUCUAUACAUGGGCAGAAACUUUUUCCAACGGAAGGAAUUUUUGGGUUAUAUUUCUUUUUGUUAUGGAGAAAUUGAGGGUAAAGGUAGCGACUUUGUGAUCUCUUUUUUGUCUCUAUUCCCUUUUCAGCCUACUAAUAAAGAUUUUCUAGACUGUUGCAAUGGGCUGCUUCUGGUUCUUCCAUCGGAGUUAUUUGUGUGUAAUCCAUUUAAUAAGCAAUGCAUUCCCAUCCCUGUUAAUCCUGCACACACCAGCAACACCAGUGCCACUUUUCUUGCUUUUAAUCCAUCCCUUUCCCCUAACUACCAGAUUUUGCACAUUUGUCGUGUCUCUGAGUACCAAAGAAAGGUGGAUGUUUUCUGGUCAGAGACAGGGAAGUGGGUUACCCGAUUCAUACCUGUUCUUCCUGAACAUAAUGAGAUGGUUAGGCCUGUUUACUUAAAUGGGAUUUUGUACGUGUUAACGAAGGUUUAUUAUUUCUUACGUUUUGACCAAAACCUGAAUGUUCAGCAUUUUCAGUUACCGUGGAAAAAACGAAUCACACCUUAUGGAUUUAUUGGAGCAUCCAAUAGAAACCUUUUUUACUUCAAUAAUGAUUCGGUUAGCUUGAAGGUUUGGUUAUUCGAGGAUAGUAGUGACGGCAGUGGUGGUUAUUGUUUCUGGACGCUGAAGCACAACAUAAAGAUUUAUGAUUCGAUCAAGUCUCCUCACAAAGAAAUUCUCCUAAAACAGUGCUAUAAGAUUUUAUUCAUUCCUUAUGCAUUGCAUCCAUUCUCUGAUGUAAUUUUCAUUGGGAUUCCUAAGAUGAUCUUUAGUUACCAUCCCCAAACCAAGAGUUUCGAACUGUUUUUUACUGCCAAGGAAGACACACAUAUAAUGUGUGGACAAAAUCUUGUCUACUGUUACAGGCGCUGCGCCAUUGUUCUCAAGGACUUCAGGACAAGGCAUCAGAGAAAUCUUAUUUGUGAGUUGCUACUUUCUUUAGCCAUCUUACUUUUCUUCUUGUUUGGUUGUUUUUCUUAAUUAAUUUUAAUGUUUGUCAAAACUUGAUUCGCUACCGGGUACCCCAAUGCGUUAUUGGGUUCUCCUAUCGCUAGUUUACAUUUAAUUUUGGUUGAGUGUAUCUUCAAGAGACUAACUUGGCUAUUCGGAGUUUUUUUUAGGUCAUAUAACUUGGCUAAUAGUGUAUAUCAAUGCCUCUUUCCGACUCAUUUUGUUGUUCACACAUGACACAAGACGGGACAUCUCAAUCAUUUGCUGGAAUUUUUCUGAAUCAUUCUUGUUUCACCCUUGUCUUGAGUGAAUUGUUAGCUUUUAAGAGAUGCAGAACAAGAUCAAGAUGAUGAGUAUGUAAUCUGAUGUAAGCUCAAUAUCUCAUAAUGAUGCUUUGACAUGGGAUGUUGUUGCUAAAAUUCUAUUUGAAGUUACCGGAUAUAGCAGUAGCUAUUUGGGCCUUUAAGUUUUUGUUUUACCGGACAUAGCAGUAGCUAUUUGAAGUUUUUUUUUCGACGACGUCAGUAAUUUUGAUUUGUGUCAUCCGAGUGUAUGGCCAUUAACAUGUAAUUCUUUUAUCAGCAAAUUUUUUUUUAGCCUUAGAUAAUAAUAAAAUAUGUGCUUAGGUCCAUUAUCUUAUUUUAUCGUGUAGAGAAUUCCGACUUUUUUUUUUUGGGUUGAUAAUGAUGAUGAAUGUUUUCUGAAAUCCCUUAUUGUUUCCAAAUAUAACAUUUUAUUCUGUUUUUUUCCUCUAUAUUUACAGAAUCUUAAUUAUGAAAUUUUUGAAGACAAAGGAGAUUGCGUUGAUCAAAGGUGAUUACCAGAAUAAACUGUUUUCUGUAUCUUGGGGCAGUGUCUUGUCUAUUUGCUCAUUUGUUAUUAUUAUAGCAGCUUACGUGCAUGUUAGGGCGGUGUCUUUGCUUAAUUAUUUAUUUACAUUUUAUCCCUGUAAAAUGCUUUAUUAGUUUUAAUAAUAAUAUUGAAUUCAUUACUAAACUACAGGGAUAAAUAAAUUAAGAUUAAGGUAGUCAGACAUUUAGGUUUCAUAUUCAAUUUUUACUUUGGUGAAUUUAUUGAGUAUCAAUUGAUACCUAGUCUUAAAUGUAGGCAGACUCAUAGAGUAGAAGACUAAGGGGCCGAAAUAAAUAUAAAUCUUGGUGUGGUUGUAUGUUUGAUAUCUGCAUUAUAUAUUCAAUUUAUUUAAUUAUCUUUAUCACUUAUUUUCUGCAUUAGAAAAUCUAAGAAAUAUUAAAUUAUAUAUAUAUAUAUGAAGAAAAUAAUUGAUGUAACUGAGAAAAUAAUUGAUAGUCUUAUGACUGUGGAAAUGUGUUUCAUAUUGUUCAUAUAGCUACUUUGUGAUUUGAGUUAUAGUUAAAUACUGGAAAAAAUGUUUUAACCUUUAAAAUUUAGUAACUAAUUAAGCUUCUGAUAUCUUCUGUGUAUAACUAAGCUUAUGAUAUCUUCUGUGUAUAACUUACGGAAGUUAAUCUUGUUCAUAGUAUAAGCAACAAUUUUUACUUCCCUUUGACUGAAGAGAGCAAGUUGUUAUUUUUGAGUAUCGAGUUUCCUCUUCAAAUAGUAAAAGUUCUGAAAUCAGAACUAUAUUAUGAUAUCUUAGAAAACUUUAAUUAGCUAGUUUGAAAAUUAGAACUCAGAACUCAACAUAUAAUGUUUAUCAGUACAGACAAAGCUACCACCACCCACAAGUGAAUCUGUGUCUUAAAAUUCAUAGAUGCAUUUUUGUGAAAGCCAAGUCCCAUAAUGCUUGAUCUGGGCAUCACCAUAACCAUUGGGGAAGCUGAAAUCACAAGCAAAAGAGCAUGUCAAGAAAUUUGAUUUAAAAAACAUAAAUUAAUCUUCCUAACUAGACUUUUAAAAAAAUAUUAAAUUACAAUCUAAUAUUCCAGAAAAUAAGGUCCUGUUUGGACAUCCCUAUAUAUGUAUACACACAUUAUAAGCACGUCCAAGGGUAACAAAAGACGGUUAAAUGACACAUCUUAUGAGGUUUGAGCAAGUCAACUUACCGGCAACAGUAGAAUUGGUUUUGAUACCAAAGGAAAGCUGAGAAGCANNNNNNNNNNNNNNNNNNNNNNNNNNNNNNNNNNNNNNNNNNNNNNNNNNNNNNNNNNNNNNNNNNNNNNNNNNNNNNNNNNNNNNNNNNNNNNNNNNNNAACCAGCUUGCUGGGUGUAGAUUUGUUUUAAGUUAUCGCAACACGUUUGUGCGGGAGAGGGCACUCUACCCUGAACAAAUGGUGCGCACGAGGCUAAAGAUAGUAGGCUUGUCCCGCAUUGGGUGAUGGUGGGACCUAAUAUAGGGUUCUGUGAAAAGGUGGGUAGUGCAAGGUAAGAGAAAAUUACAAGAAAAGUAUAUUUAGUUGUGGGAAGGAAAGAGUGAUGCAGAAAAGCCAUUCUAUAUGUUCAUCAAGGUAGCUAGAGUAUAUGUUCUGUUUUUGUGGAGAACUUACUUUCUAAAUAGAUGAAGAUGCAUUGAUUUGGUGUGGAAAUUUAGCAUGCUUUAUGUGUGUCAGUUAAAACACAAUUGCUAUUAACUCUCUGGUAAGCAACCAUUUUGGAACUGCAGUAGCAAUUUUAUUUGAAAAUGCAGCAUGCGUGAUAUGAUGAUAUCUCUUAGAGCUAUGUUUUCAACUUGAGAAAAGAAGGAAAAGGAAAAGAGGGGAAACAUAAAACAAAGUUAAAGAAAAAGUCUAUUAGAGAAAUUAAUAUCAACAAGUAUUAUGAUGAGGUAGCAUAAUGGAAUUAUUUAAAUCUUCAUUUUUUUGGGGGAUAAUCCUUUCUUUAAUUCUCAAACUGUAGUUGUUUUUCAUGUUUAGUCUCCUAACUAUUAUUUUAUUUUUUACUUUUUAUUUACUUUUUUUUUUGCGUAUUUUAUCUUCCACCCCGGCCGUCGUUAGUCACUAAACUAUAGCUAGUUUUCACGUUUAGUUCCCAAAUUAUAGUUGUUUUCAUGUUUAAUCCUCAAAGUACACUUAUUUUUCAAGUUUAAUUCAUUUUAAUUGCUCUAAUUUUUGUGUUGUUGGAUUGAAAUUGCAGAAAUAAUAAUGUUCGACAACAAAAUACUAAUAAAAUGUAAAUAUGGAACUAAACGUUAAAAACAAUUAUAUUUGAUGACUAAUUAAGAUAUUAUCCUCCCCAAUAUAUAAAAUGUAUGUAUGUGUGUGAGUGGAAAAUUUGAAGUUUGGAUAUAUAGAACAUACUAUCAAGUUAGGGCGUAGAAGUCAUC
rnacentral:lncRNA from 1 species